rnacentral:rRNA from 1 species
CAGAACCCUUUGUGAACUUAUACCUUACUGUUGCCUCGGCGCUAGCUGGUCCCUCGGGGCCCCUCACCCUCGGGUGUUGAGACAGCCCGUCGGCGGCCAACCUAACUCUUGUUUUUACACUGAAACUCUGAGCACAAAACAUAAAUGAAUCAAAACUUUCAACAACGGAUCUCUUGGUUCUGGCAUCGAUGAAGAACGCAGCGAAAUGCGAUAAGUAAUGUGAAUUGCAGAAUUCAGUGAAUCAUCGAAUCUUUGAACGCACAUUGCGCCCUCUGGUAUUCCGGAGGGCAUGCCUGUUCGAGCGUCAUUUCAACCCUCAAGCCUGGCUUGGUGAUGGGGCACUGCUUCUUACCCAAGAAGCAGGCCCUGAAAUUCAGUGGCGAGCUCGCCAGGACCCCGAGCGCAGUAGUUAAACCCUCGCUCUGGAAGGCCCUGGCGGUGCCCUGCCGUUAAACCCCCAACUUCUGAAAAUU